GAUGAAGAACGUAGCGAAAUGCGAUAAGUAAUGUGAACUGCAGAAUUCAGUGAAUCAUCGAAUCUUUGAACGCACAUUGCGCCCGUCAGUAUUCUGGCGGGCAUGCCUGUUCGAGCGUCAUUACGCCCCUCAAGUCCCCUGUGGACUUGGUGUUGGGGAUCGGCGAGGCUGGUUUUCCAGCACAGCCGUCCCUUAAAUUAAUUGGCGGUCUCGCCGUGGCCCUCCUCUGCGCAGUAGUAAAACACUCGCAACAGGAGCCCGGCGCGGUCCACUGCCGUAAAACCCCCCAACUUUUUAUAGUUGACCUCGAAUCAGGUAGGACUACCCGCUGAACUUAAGCAUAUCAAUAAGCGGAGGA
rnacentral:misc_RNA from 1 species